AAACUACUGCCCUCCCACAGUUCUGAUCCCACCCCUAAAUACGUGUUUCCGGUAACAGAGGCGUCUAUAGGCUCAGCCAAUACCGUGCGUAAGGGGCGGGGCUACAGCCUGAAGCAGGAAGUGAAGCUGAAGGUCUGAGCAAAGAGAUCAGAGGGACGGCGAGAGAUCAGAGAUAAGAUGUCCUCUCCCACCCCUCAACCCCAUAACCGCAGCCGAAAGGCGGACGAUGAAGAGGACCCCCUGGAGCACAUGAUUGGCCGGACAGGGUGCGCGUGGGCUCAUUACGCUGUACAGGAAUGCAUGGCGGAGCAGCAGGACUGGAGGAAAUGCCAGACACACGUGCAGAGCUUUAAGGACUGUAUGCAAGCCUAUCAGCAGCAGCGGGCAGCACAACUGCACAAACUGAGGCACAGCAGCAGCAGCAGCACAUGAACUCCUAAGUGCCCCGCUGUACUGCCCAACUGCACUGACUGACUGGCCAAUGAGACGCCUGCAUUUUAUACUGCUGUGUAAUAAUAAUUCUGUGUGUGCAAUAAACUUACCCUUUCCUACUCA